GGUGUCACUUCUGGAUGGGCUCGCGGCCUAUCAGUUAGUUGGUGAGGUAACGGCUCACCAAGGCAAUGACGGGUAGCUGGUCUGAGAGGACGACCAGUCACACUGGAACUGAGACACGGUCCAGACACCUACGGGUGGCAGCAGUCGAGAAUCAUUCGCAAUGGGGGAAACCCUGACGGUGCGACGCCGCGUGGAGGAUGACGGUCUUCGGAUUGUAAACUCCUGUCAUCGAAGAGUAAGGCUUAUGUAUUAAUAGUAUGUAAGAUUGAUAGUAUUCGAAGAGGAAGGGACGGCUAACUUCGUGCCAGCAGCCGCGGU
rnacentral:rRNA from 1 species